GACGAACGCUGGCGGCGCGCUUAACACAUGCAAGUCGAGCGAUAACCAUGGCUUCGGCCAUGGGGAGAGCGGCGAACGGGUGAGUAACACGUGAGUGAUCUGCCCUCGGCACCGGGAUAGCCCGGGGAAACCCGGAUUAAUACCGGAUGGCCUCUCGAGCCCACGGGCUCGUGAGAAAAGAUGGCUUUGGCUUUCGGCCGAGGAGGAGCUUGCGGCGGAUUAGCUUGUUGGCGGGGUAACGGCCCACCAAGGCGACGAUCCGUAGCUGGUCUGAGAGGACGAUCAGCCACACUGGGACUGAGACACGGCCCAGACUCCUACGGGAGGCAGCAGUGGGGAAUCUUGCGCAAUGGGCGAAAGCCUGACGCAGCGACGCCGCGUGAGGGAAGAAGGCCUUCGGGUUGUAAACCUCUUUCAGGAGGGACGAAGCUACUCGGGUUAAUAGCCCAGAGGGUGACGGUACCUUCAGAAGAAGCCCCGGCUAACUACGUGCCAGCCGCCGCCGUAAGAC
rnacentral:rRNA from 1 species